AGAAUCAACGCUGGCGGCGUGCCUAACACAUGCAAGUCGAACGAGAAAGUGGAGCAAUCCAUGAGUAAAGUGGCGCACGGGUGAGUAACACGUGACUAACCUACCCUUGAGUGGGGGAUAACCUAGAGAAAUCUGGGCUAAUACCGCAUAAUACCUUCGGGUCAAAGGAGCAAUUCGCUUAAGGAGGGGGUCGCGGCCGAUUAGUUAGUUGGCGGGGUAAUGGCCCACCAAGACUGUGAUCGGUAUCCGGCCUGAGAGGGCGCACGGACACACUGGAACUGAAACACGGUCCAGACUCCUACGGGAGGCAGCAGUGGGAAUUUUGCGCAAUGGGGGAAACCCUGACGCAGCAACGCCGCGUGGAGGAUGAAGCCCCUUGGGGCCGUAAACUCCUUUCGAUCGGGAAGAUAAUGACGGUACCGAGAGAAGAGCCCCGGCUAACUUCGUGCCAGCAGCCGC
rnacentral:rRNA from 1 species